AGAUCUCAUUUAAGAGUUGGCAGUGGAGGUGGUGGUAUCUCUUGUUGGAGCUCAUUACUUACUUCAGGUUUUUCUAAGGUGUUGGUUUUGCUCAGAGACAGAGCAGCUGACAUAUUCUGUACUGGACCAUUCAGAAGACAGAAAAAGAUACAUCCAUGAAGAACUUCUUUUGGAAAGAGUCUUUUCAUCAUACUGAGUUUAAAUAUGCACACCUGAGAAUAUAUGCUUUCAUAAAAGAAUUCAAAGCAGUCUGCACAGGAUUCAGUCAGCCUUAUCCUUUUGCUAACUCAGUGGAAAGAAACUUCCACUUUGCUUACAUUGUUUCCUCCUUCCAUUCCUUGCUAGUAAUCACUAAAUAAAUAAAUAAAUAAAAAUUUCUACUGACUAAGAAAAUUAAGUAGAUAAAGGAUGUAUAUUCGCUUCCUACAUGCAAUUUUUUCUUCUAUAUGUAAACUGUAUGUAUUCUCAUAUAGGUAUAAAGCUGUGAAAUAGAUUUCAAGUCUGAACUGCCUUAAGAUUACAGCAAUGUGUUCAUUACUGAAUUAUUCAUUUCCAAAGAAUUGGAAUUAAAUUUGUUUGUACUAUUAACCACUUUAAAAUGUUAAAACUCUAGUGUACUCAAACUUUUGAAAUGCUACAACUAACUGUAACUAAACAGAAGAGCUGAUUCUAUUUCUCCUUCCCCUCUCUUUUAAAUGAUGAUUUAGUAUAAUACUCUGUUCAGAGUACUUCUUGAAAUUUUCCCUCUUUCUUGAUCUCAUGACUGGAUUUUUGUGUAGAAUUUUGGAAAUCAAUGCUUUUAGCUGUAGUCAAAACUUUAAGGAACAGUAUGACAACAAACUUAGCUGAACCUAUAUGUAUACUUGUAGAGAGAAAAAAAAAAAAAAAAUUACUCUGUUGUGAAGUACGCCAAAGUUUCCUGGCCACAGUCGUGUUUGUCAAGAGCACAAUGCACAAAUCUUGACAGACCUUUGCUGGGAGGUCCAAAAAUAUUAGAGCCUGACAUACUACUAACUUAACUUAUUACAGCAGUUAAGCCCAUGUCCUAGCAACAAACAUGCUUUUUCCUUCUAUUGACCAUUCAGAGAGUAGUUUAAAAACAGUACCAUAAAACUGUCAAAAUAUUUUUUCUUCUGUGGAUGCAAUCAUUAAAAAAAAAUUCUCCUGCUCAAAUAUAUAAUUGCUACAUAUGUAACUGCAUGAUAUAUUUUCUCUACUCAAAUAUUCGGAUGUAUUUACAUUUAUUUGAUACAAGCAUAUUAAGCAGUUUCUUUGCAAAAUGGCAAUGAGCAGCAAACAUAAUAUACUUUUUGCCCUUCUGGUUAGCACAAAUAUCUUUAUGGUAUGAAAGUCUGAGAUAUAAUCAAGAAGGGUAUGAAAGUCUUCACCGAAUUCGUCUGUUUCUCUGGGCCUGAUUCAAAACCUCCGAACAGUACUGAAGCUGUGUUCAGCAGUCCCCAAGAAACCAGAAAUCAUGAAACAAUUCACUAAAAUUAUUCUUAUACUGUUGGUAUUGUAAUGGAGGUACGCAAUUUUCCUCUUGGAAUAUCAGAUCUUCAGAGAGUAGCCAGGUGUAUUACUGGAAUUAAGAGUAAGUCACAGUUGUUUUUAUUUCCAAGCUUUUAGAAAGGUAAAAUUAUUAUGAUCUUGUUUGUGCAAAUGAAUUCCAAGUUGUAUUUAUAUUGCAAAUUACAGUUUUGUUUCACUCAUCUCUAUAUUAUACAACAGUUUCUUUCUGGAAAGUGCUUAAAAAUAGAUUGUCUGUUUU
ensembl:lncRNA